GGCGCAUGUCUGUGUACGUGUGUAUGGAGCCAUUGGGUGCGGUCACUAUAGCAACCAGGCUCACACCUGCCUGCUUAACGAGCUCUGCCUGCCACUGUACCAAGAUUCAUCUUAAGCACUUCUCUUUCAACUGCUGCUGUGUCCACAGUGUUACAGCCAUCAUUUUACCCUCAAAUUGUCGCCAUUAUUGUUCUCUUUCCAACACCGUAUCUUUCAAAGCUCAGGCAUUUAAACUUUUUAAACUGUGUGGAUCAAAGUGGAGGGAUCACAUUUUCUUCAUUCAGUGAUUCAAAGAAUAUGACCUUUUAAUAUUCAUUCAGAUGUUUUCUGACUCUAAAUGUUCUUUUCUCAUUUCUUAGGGUUUUCUAAUUUACAUUUAAAGCAUUUUCAGCUUUUUUCCAACUUCUUCUUCUGUGUAACCUUCAGCUUUUAGCAGUUCAGCACCUUUGAUUUCAGGUUAAUUUGAUUUUUGAUUUUUUUUUAAUUUCAUUCAAUAUUUUUAACUCAAAAUUCAGCAAUUAAUUCAUUUCAGUGCAUACAUUCAGAUUCAAGCAUUCACACUGCAGUUUCUUCAGAAAAUGCACUUUCUAGUUAUUAUUAUUAUUAUAUUUUAUUCUGUAUUCCGUACGUUUUUUGAAAGCCUACUCCUUCAAAACCGUUCAACUUAGAAAAACCAUUCAAACACCGUUAGAUUCCUAUUCUUUUGGACAACAUUGCUUCUAUUUUUCUCAUUUUUAACAUUUAUAUUUUUAAUUUUAUUCAACUUUAUUCAACAAAAAUUUCCCAUGUAUUUCAAUGGGGAGACCCUUCAAAUUCUCAUUCAACUUACUCAUUUUUAAACUCUUACUACUUCAACAUACGUUCACAUAGAGCCACCAUUCAAACUUUAAAACGAAGACAAGACAUUCAACUAUUCAACUUGUAUUUAUCUUUUCAAUAUCUAUUAUACUUUUUCUUCAGUUCCAGUUUAAGUUUCAUGAUGUUUUUUCACCCGUUUCAGAGUUUAUAAUGGGUGUGUAUGGGACGGAAUGUUGGGGCUAGAGUGAGGCAGCUCAACUGCUAGAGUGAGAGGAGCAAAAAAAUUAAUCUUAAAAUCUUUUUUAAAACUGCUGCUGUGUCCGCAGCGUUUGCUCUACAGGUAUGAUUUUACCCUCAAAACGUAGCCAUCGCUGUCCUCUUUCAUCCAAUGUGUUUACUAUUGUC
ensembl:lncRNA